UCCAGCUGUUAGGGUCAGGGUUUUGUCUUUUUUACUUUGGAUGGAUUUCAACAUUUUUCACCACCCCUUUGUUAUAACCCUCUCCAACAAAUCAUUCUCUUCAGUGCAUCUCUCUCUCUCUCUCUCUCUCCCUUGAAAGAAGGCGAAAGUUUUGGGGGAUAAAGGAAUGAGAGGCCAGAAAGCGAGAUGGGGACAUACAUAUAUAUAUAUAUACAUAAGUGGUGAUGUAAUUAAUUAGGAUUAGGCUUUAGACGACGACGACUGCGACGACGGUGGAUUAGUAGUUACGUUGAUAUUGAUCAUCAACAAAAGGGGAGCUUAUCUUUUGAGGGGAAUGUUGUCUGGCUCGAGGACUACUGUUUCUAUUAUGAUUGAUUACUAGUUAAUUAUGAUUCAAGAAAUUACAGAUCUAUGAUCAUGGUGUCGUCGUCGGACCAGGCUUCAUUCCCCCCAAUCUCUGCUCCCACUGGAUUUUGGAUGACUGAUUUCUGCCUGAUCUCCAGGGAAGUUUUGGUGGAUAACUUGGCAGUUUGGAGACAUGGGUUUUACUUUUUGGAAGUUGUUCAGUGUGUGCAGGGUGCAGAUUGGUGUAAUGAUGAAGGGAUCUUGACUUUGAGUUUGAAAAUUGUUUCUUGAGAGAAAGGUUUUCAUCAUUGCCCUCCUUUUCGUUUCUGUUUUCUCACAGGUUAUGAUGGUGUUUGGUGUCAGAUGAUUGGGUUUUCCUUUUUCUUUCUGAACAUAAUUCAAGGUUUUUUCUAAUUUAGGCUCAUUCCGUAUCAGAUCUGAGUAGUGGGUUUAAGAUAUUCAUGAGAUCUGGCGUUUUCAACUUUGAUGAAUAAUAAUUAUUCCUCUUC